rnacentral:rRNA from 1 species
GACGAGGGUGGCAAACGUCAUCCGGAUUUAUUGGGUGUAAAGCGUCUCUAGGCUGCUUGACAAGUUUCUGGUUAAAUCUUUGGGCCUAACCCAAAAACCGCUGGAAAAACUAUCAAGCUAGAGACUGGGAGAGGCAAGCGGAAUGGCCGGUGUAGUAGUAAAAUGCGUUGAUAUCGGCCAGAACACCAAUAGCGUAGGCAGCUUGCUAGAACAGUUCUGACGCUAAUCAGACGAAAGCGUGGGGAGCGAAUGGG